rnacentral:rRNA from 1 species
UGCAGUCGAGCGGCAGCGCGGGGGCAACCCUGGCGGCGAGCGGCGGACGGGUGAGUAAUGCAUCGGAACGUAUCCCGUAGUGGGGGACAACCCAGCGAAAGCUGGGCUAAUACCGCAUAUGCUCUACGGAGGAAAGCAGGGGACUCGCAAGGGCCUUGUGCUAUGGGAGCGGCCGAUGUCCGAUUAGCUAGUUGGUGGGGUAAAGGCUUACCAAGGCGACGAUCGGUAGCUGGUCUGAGAGGAUGAUCAGCCACACUGGGACUGAGACACGGCCCAGACUCCUACGGGAGGCAGCAGUGGGGAAUUUUGGACAAUGGGGGCAACCCUGAUCCAGCCAUGCCGCGUGCGGGAAGAAGGCCUUCGGGUUGUAAACCGCUUUUGGUCGGGAAGAAAGGGUUCGGGCUAAUACCCUGGACUGUUGACGGUACCGGCAGAAUAAGCACCGGCUAACUACGUGCCAGCAGCCGCGGUAAUACGUAGGGUGCGAGCGUUAAUCGGAAUUACUGGGCGUAAAGCGUGCGCAGGCGGUUUGUUAAGUCUGAUGUGAAAGCCCCGGGCUCAACCUGGGAAUGGCAUUGGAAACUGGCAAGCUGGAGUGUGGCAGAGGGGGGUGGAAUUCCGCGUGUAGCAGUGAAAUGCGUAGAGAUGCGGAGGA